rnacentral:rRNA from 1 species
GACGAACGCUGGCGGCGUGCUUAACACAUGCAGGUCGAGCGGUAAGGCCCUUUCGGGGGUACACGAGCGGCGAACGGGUGAGUAACACGUGGGUGACCUGCCCUCAGCUCUGGGAUAAGCCUGGGAAACCGGGUCUAAUACCGGAUAUGACUCCAUGACGCAUGUUGUGGGGUGGAAAGCCUUGUGCGGCUGAGGAUGGGCCCGCGGCCUAUCAGCUUGUUGGUGGGGUGAUGGCCUACCAAGGCGACGACGGGUAGCCGGCCUGAGAGGGCGACCGGCCACACUGGGACUGAGACACGGCCCAGACUCCUACGGGAGGCAGCAGUGGGGAAUCUUGCGCAAUGGGCGAAAGCCUGACGCAGCGACGCCGCGUGAGGGAUGACGGCCUGG